UUUGUCGGAUUGAAUUCUAUAACAAUGGCUUUAGUGGCGGACUGGUGAGUAACGCGUAAGGAACCUACCUAUUAGAGGGGAACAACAAUGAGAAAUCAUUGCUAAUACCGCAUAUGCCAUAACUACCGCAUGGUAGAAGUGGGAAAGGAGUAAUCCGCUGAUAGAUGGCCUUGCGUCUGAUUAGUUAGUUGGUGGGGUAACGGCCUACCAAGACGACGAUCAGUAGCCGGACUGAGAGGUUGAACGGCCACAUUGGGACUGAGAUACGGCCCAGACUCCUACGGGAGGCAGCAGUCAGGAAUAUUGCGCAAUGGAGGAAACUCUGACGCAGUGACGCCGCGUGCAGGAAGAAGGUUUUCGGAUUGUAAACUGCUUUAGACAGGGAAGAGAAAGGACAGUACCUGUAGAAUAAGCUCCGGCUAACUACGUGCCAGCAGCCGCGGUAAUACGUAGGGAGCGAGCGUUAUCCGGAUUUAUUGGGUGUAAAGGGUGCGUAGACGGGAAUACAAGUUAGUUGUGAAAUACCUCGGCUUAACUGAGGAACUGCAACUAAAACUAUAUUUCUUGAGUACAGGAGAGGUAAGUGGAAUUCCUAGUGUAGCGGUGAAAUGCGUAGAUAUUAGGAGGAACACCAGUGGCGAAGGCGACUUACUGGACUGAAACUGACGUUGAGGCACGAAAGUGUGGGGAGCAAACAGGAUUAGAUACCCUGGUAGUCCACACCGUAAACGAUGGAUACUAGGUGUAGGAGAUAUUAAGUCUUCUGUGCCGUCGCACACGCAGUAAGUAUCCCACCUGGGGA
rnacentral:rRNA from 1 species